GUGUCAGCCGCCGCGGUAAUACGUAGGAGGCGAGCGUUAUCCGGAUUUACUGGGCGUAAAGCGGGCGUAGGUGGCUUUUUAAGUCGGAUGUAAAAUCUCCCUGCUUAACGGGGAGGGGUCAUUCCAUACUGUUGAGCUAGAGGGCAGCAGAGGGAGGUAGAAUUCCCGGUGUAGUGGUGAAAUGCGUAGAUAUCGGGAGGAAUACCAGUGGCGAAGGCGGCCUCCUGGGCUGUUGCUGACGCUGAGGCCCGAAAGCGUGGGGAGCGAACAGGAUUAGAUACCCUGGUAGUCCACGCUGUCAACGAUGGGCACUAGGUAUAGGGAGUAUCGACCCUCUCUGUGCCAAAGCUAACGCGUUAAGUGCCCCGCCUGGGGACUACGGCCGCAAGGCUAAAACUUAAAUGAAUUGGCGGGG
rnacentral:rRNA from 1 species